rnacentral:tRNA from 1 species
GCUAGAUUAGCUCAGUUGGUAGAGCACGUCAUUCGUAAUGAUGGGGUCAGGGGUUCGAGUCCCCUAUCUAGCU